UGCCCGAUUCUUGGAUUGAAUCUUCAA
rnacentral:piRNA from 1 species